GGUCGAUUGGGCAGCGGCCAGAUAACGCCUCCACUGCUUUCUCUUCCCCAAGAAGCAAACCCUCACCUCCCAGGUUCACAUGCAACCUUCGCUCGUCUCCUUGUUUCUCUCCUCCGCCUCUUCCUCCGGGUGUACUUGCGGCUGCAGUGGGAUGGGAGUAAAGGGGGCGAGCAGGAUGGGUGGCCAGCUGAUUUCUUCGAAGGAUCUGGAGCCCAGGGGCGACGCCGGUGAGUAACCAACCAGUUUCUCAAUCCUUCUUCCCAUCCACUUCUGAUAUGUCAUUAUGCCCAUCUUGCGGAGGACCGGGAGUGGGGGCGAUGGCCAGGCCUGGUGGUGACGGGACGAUUUAGUGGUCGGAGGCGCUGCAUCGGAUGCCAGUCAGUCUGCAACGACGCCGCGCUCGUCGCCGCCGUCGACUCCAGCGCCAGUGUGCCCCUAGGCACCUCCCGCGCCAAGGGAAGAGAUGUGAAAUGCUCAACUUAGGAGGGAGCAUAGACAAGUGUAAGCGGACCCUUUAGCAGGAGAGCAACACAACUGCUAGCUUCCCUGCGGCAGUACAGGAGAUGGAUACGAAGUCCUUGGAGGGUCAGAAUACAAAGCUCUACUAGGUGAUGGAGCUGGAGAAGUUGAGUACUUCCAGUCUCUUGACGAACGAAUCAUUAAAAUGAAGGGAGUUUCUGAUCCUAUUAAAUGUCAUUGCGGACUGGAGUACAAUGUAGAACUAGGCAGGGAUGCCAUGGGUGCAAGAUGAACUCACUAUAUAGAUGACCACAGGUCCAGUGUGUUUAAAGUAUGCAUAUGUGCGGCUGCCGUAUGUACAGCUGGACAACUCCACAUAGAGAAACUGGAUAAAGUGCCAGUGCCGCAGGAGCAAAACAGCGCCCCAGAUGAAGCCAACACGGACGACAAUUAACUUCUCUGACCUUAAUCACAUUAAUGAGUGAACUUUCUUGUAAUCCUUUUUCCUGACAUUAUAAGGCAAUGGCUUAGCCUGAUAUUUUGGUAGUUGUGUAACUUGAAACAUGAUGCUAAGCCGAACAAUUUAUUGUCCUUUUUCCGCAUGAUAUCACAUUUUGAUAGUUGCAAAGCCUAAACUAUGAUGUUUUUGCUA